CGCGUGCGCACGGCACAGAUCGCCCCAUUCUCCCUUCCUGGACGCAGAUUGCCAGGGCGAUCUGCGGACGCGUCCAGGAAGGGAGAAUGGAAGGGAGGGAGCCCUCAGGACCGAGAAGUCUCCUCCUCCUCCUCCAUCUCCCUUCCCUCCCAAUGGCGGUGGCUUCCCUCGGCGAGCGAGGCCUGGCUUUGUAAUGCGCAGAAGCGCCGCCAGAGCCCCUCCUGCCGCCGCUGCCAGAGCCUGAGGAGACAGGCGAGAGAGAGUGAGACAGAGAGGAAGAGGAGGUCGAAGCCGGGCAUCGAAGCAGCGGCAUCAGCGGCUCAUGGCUCGGCGCCUGAGGAGGCCAGAGGCCGGCGCGGCAGGCGAGGCUUCUCGCUGAGGCCCUUCCUCGCUUCCCCCGCUCGCUCGCCCCCGCCAUGGCGGUGUUAUGGCCUCUUGCUGGAGCGCCAAAGGGUCCCUUGCUUGGAGGUCAGCGCAGCUCCUGCUCCUCGUCGCCGCCGCCUCGUGUCGGGAAAAAAGGAAAAAGAAAACUGAAGCAGUAAAAGAAAGAAUGGAAGCCAUAGCCAUCUCCAGAGAUUAAACAUAAUAAAUUAACAGAUGAAGCACUGAAUAUAAAUACAUCAUUGCACAACUGCUAAGAACAUGGGAGUGCAUGGGAGUGUCACAAAAAAUUCUAGAAAAAGUAUUUCCAAUGAAGCCGGAAUUCUAUCUUCUUGGAUUAACAGAUAGCAUAACAACUUUUACCAAAAAUGACAACAUUUUAUUUACCUACAUAUCAUCGACCCCAAGAAUAACCUUUGCUCGACAAUGGAAAUCGGAAGAAAUACCAGCGAAAGGCCUCUGGUUAGAGAAGCUCGACAAAAUUUUUGAUAUGGACAGAUUAACAUAUUUAUUGAAAGAAAACAGAGGCAAACCAAUAAAAAGUACAGACUGGAAUAAAUACGAAAAAUUUAGAAAACAAGCAAUGGACCAGAAGGAAUGAAAAGGAGAAUCCUGGGAAUCCAAACAAAAUGGAGACCAACAAACAAGAAAAGACAAUAUAAAUAUUUGAAUAUAUCCAUGCAGAGUAGAAAACGGAAGACAAAAACUUUUACUCCUUCCCUCUCUUUUUUUUCUUUCUCUCUUCUUUUCCCUUCUCACUCUCUUUCUUUUUCCCAUAAAUUUUCCCUAUAUCUCUACUUACUAUUAUUCCUUGUUCUCUUCUUUCUCCCUUCCUUUUUUCCCCUGCUUUCCCCUUUUCCCUAUAUAUAUCUUUUAUGUAAAGUGUUUAAAAUCUGAAUAAAAAUUAUUAAAAAAAAGAA